GGAUGAGCGUCACACCAAUAGGAGCGAGGGGGCAGGGCGGAUGAGAGGGUGGUGAUGCAAAAAAGAAAGACGCUGGACAGGUGUGGAAGACGGCUUAGGCCUCAGAGAUCUGGGAGCAGGAGCAGCGCUCGAAACAAGGCGGGAUGUGGGCGGGGCUAAAGGUAGAACGUGCCUGGAGGAGGCGGACCCGGAAGCACAGUAGGGGGGCGUCCAGGAUAGCCACUCUGGGGAGGAGCCGGAAGGAGGCGUGCCCUAAAUUUGGCCCUGGUGGGUGGUGCUUGAGAUGGGAGAGGCCUGAAACCAGCACCCAGAGCUGUAUUCUAGGAGUCGUGCCAGAGCGAUCCGGAAGAGGCGAAAAGUACCCGCAUUUUGAGCUGGAAUCUGCCUGAGAGAAUUCCCAAUGCAACAGUUUCUACUGAGAGUGCUGUCUGUGACAGACCAGCAGUAAUAACUACUCCUCUCUGGUUUGAUGACCUCCAUGUCCCACUUCAAAAGGAAGAGAAAUAAAACCAGACAGAUGAUGACAUUGGAGAGCAAAGCCUGGAAUAUUCUUCCCCCAAAUCUCUGCCUAAAUAGCACUUCUGAGAGUUCUUCCUUAAACACCCUGCCUAACAGUUUGGUCUCUUGUUCUGACAUUUAUUAGUCUAUUUAUGUGUUUUUUUUCUGUCUCUCCCAGUAGAGUGGAUCCAUGAAUAGAAAUAUAAAGCUC